UACGAAGGGGGCUAGCGUUGUUCGGAUUUACUGGGCGUAAAGCGCACGUAGGCGGAUCUUUAAGUCAGAGGUGAAAUCCCAAGGCUCAACCUUGGAACUGCCUUUGAUACUGGGGAUCUUGAGACCGGGAGAGGUGAGUGGAAUUCCCAGUGUAGCGGUGAAAUGCGUAGAUAUUGGGAGGAACACCAGUGGCGAAGGCGGCUCACUGGACCGGAACUGACGCUGAGGCGCGAAAGCGUGGGGAGCAAACAGG
rnacentral:rRNA from 1 species